rnacentral:rRNA from 1 species
CCCUUAGAUGUUCUGGGCCGCACGCGCGCUACACUGACGAAUGCAACGAGCUUAUAACCUUGGCCGAAAGGUCUGGGUAAUCUCCAAAUUUCGUCGUGAUGGGGAUAGAUUAUUGCAAUUAUUAAUCUUCAACGAGGAAUGCCUAGUAAGCGCAAGUCAUCAGCUUGCGUUGAUUACGUCCCUGCCCUUUGUACACACCGCCCGUCGCUCCUACCGAUUGAAUGGUCCGGUGAAGCGUUCGGACCGUGGCCUUUGGACGGUUCGCCGUCUGUUGGCUGCGGGAAGUUCGUUAAACCUUAUCAUUUAGAGGAAGGAGAGGUCGUANCA